rnacentral:rRNA from 1 species
UACGUAGGCAGCGAGCGUUGUUCGGAGUUACUGGGCGUAAAGGGUGCGUAGGCGGUUGUUUAAGUUUGGUGUGAAAUCUCCCGGCUCAACUGGGAGGGUGCGCCGAAUACUGAAUGACUAGAGUGCGGGAGAGGAGAGUGGAAUUCCUGGUGGUAGCGGUGAAAUGCGUAGAUAUCAGGAGGAACACCGGUGGUGUAGACGGCUCUCUGGACCGUAACUGACGCUGAGGCACGAAAGCGUGGGGAGCAAACAGG